AUACAGAGGGUGCGAGCGUUAAUCGGAAUUACUGGGCGUAAAGCGCGCGCAGGCGGUUUGGUAAGUCAGAUGUGAAAGCCCACGGCUCAACCGUGGAAGUGCAUUUGAAACUGCCAGACUUGAGUACCAGAGGGGAAAGUGGAAUUCCCGGUGUAGAGGUGAAAUUCGUAGAUAUCGGGAGGAAUACCGGUGGCGAAGGCGACUUUCUGGCUGGAUACUGACGCUGAGGCGCGAAAGCGUGGGGAGCAAACAGGAUUAGAGACCCGAGUAGUCC
rnacentral:rRNA from 1 species